UACGAAGGGGGCUAUCGUUGCUCGGAAUCACUGGGCGUAAAGGGUGCGUAGGCGGGUCUUUAAGUCAGGGGUGAAAUCCUGGAGCUCAACUCCAGAACUGCCUUUGAUACUGAGGAUCUUGAGUUCGGGAGAGGUGAGUGGAACUGCGAGUGUAGAGGUGAAAUUCGUAGAUAUUCGCAAGAACACCAGUGGCGAAGGCGGCUCACUGGCCCGAUACUGACGCUGAGGCACGAAAGCGUGGGGAGCAAACAGG
rnacentral:rRNA from 1 species